rnacentral:lncRNA from 1 species
UAAAGAAAAGAGGUUUCAUUGGCUCUUGAUUCUGCAGGUUGUACAGGAAGCAUGGUGCUGGCAUCUGCUUCCGAUGAGGGCCUCAGGGAGCUUACAAUCAUGGUGGAAGACGAAGGGGAGCCAAUGUUUCACAUGUUGAGAGUGAGAGCAAGAGAGAGGGAGGGGAGGCAGCCACACACUUUUAAACAACCAGAUUUUUUUUUUUUUUUAGAUGGAGUCCUGCUCUGUUGCCCAGGCUGGAGUGCAGCAGCGUGAUCUCGGCUCACUGCAACCUCCACCUCCCAGGUUCAAGCGAUUCUCCUGCCUCAGGCUCCUGAGUAGCUGCGAUUACAGGCGCGUGCCACCAUGCCCGGCUAAUUUUUGUAUUUUUAGUAGAGGCAGGGUUUCACCAUGUUGGUCAGGCUAGUCUCGAACUCCUGACAUCGUGAUCCACCCGCCUCGGCCUCCUAAAGUGCUGGGAUUACAGGCGUGAGCCACCCUGCCUGGCCUAAGCAACCACAUCUUGCAUGAACUAACUGAGCGAGAACUCACUUAUCACUGAAGGGAUGGCGCUACACCAUUCACGAGGGGCUAUUCCCAUGAUCCAAUCACCUCCCACCAGGCCCCACCUCCAACAGUGGGGAUCACAUUUCAACAUGAGAUUUGGAGAGGACAAACAUCCAAACGAUAUCAGGCUGAAAACACGGCUGGCACUUGAAACUUUAGAGAAGUCACCUUUUCCCUGGGCUCCUCGCUCUGGUCUCCCUGAGACUGUCACAGCGGCUUCAUAGGUGCUUCGAGUUUCUUUGCCACCCCCUGAUCAGGCCUUCUGUGUUUUGUAGUAGUCGCCUUCCCAGAUUUAUUGAGUAGCUCAGCUGAACCAAGGUCUGAGCAUUCAAUUAGGUCUUGUUAUUCAUCCGUUCACCAAAUAUUUAGUGAGCCAUGUGCCAGGCACAUUUCUAGCUGCUGAUACAGCUGUGAACAAGACAGAUGAAGCCCUUGCCCUUCGUGGAGCUCACAUUUUAAUAAAUAGUUUGGAGGCGGACAAAGAGAAAAUAAACAGAGAAACACGAACCUGGAGCAUUUGGCUCACAACUUAGAGUUGACUCAUCUUCAGUUUGACGUCCCUCCUGCUACGAGUUCCUGGCUAACUGACAUCUCUUCUCCUCAAGCAGAUGCUAACUUUGAGCCCUACCACUGAUGGCAUUUGAGGGGGAGAGGAUAAGCCAAGGGAAGAGGAAAAUCAAAAUGCUUUCAGCAGCACGGCUUCCGCAUGCUGGAGAGGUGGUGUAUGGGGUUGCGGCUUGGCCUGUUUUCUGAAACCUGCAAGGUAGCACCCUGAAGGUAGCUUGUAACCCUCCACUCUCACACCAAGGGGAACCCAAAGUAAGGCACUUGGUCUGAAUGAUGGACAGGAAUCCCCUCUCUCACAAGUGACUGCAUAAACCAGUUGUCCAGGCAUCCUGUAGGUAGAAGAUGGGGUCACCAGCUGGGGAGAGGGGCAGAAAUAGCAAUUGGAGAAGCCACAGGACAACAUGGCCCCUCCACAGCCCUGCAAGAGGAGGACUGGAAGUGCCAGCACCAUUAUAUCCAGCACAAUGACAAAGCGAUCCUCA